rnacentral:miRNA from 1 species
CAGAAGUUGAGUCUAGUUGAGA